UCCGGGGUCGUCUAAUGGUAGGACAUGGCCCUUUGGAGGCCAGUAUUUUGGUUCGAGUCCAAGCCCCGGAA
rnacentral:tRNA from 1 species